rnacentral:rRNA from 1 species
AUACGGAGGGUGCAAGCGUUACUCGGAAUCACUGGGCGUAAAGCGCGCGCAGGCGGCUUGAUAAGUUGGAUGUGAAAGCCUACGGCUCAACCGUAGAACUGCACCCAAAACUGUCAAGCUAGAGUCUGGGAGGGGAAGAUGGAAUUAGUUGUGUAGGGGUAAAAUCCGUAGAGAUAACUAGGAAUACCAAAAGCGAAGGCAAUCUUCUGGAACACUACUGACGCUGGGGCGCGAAAGCGUGGGGAGCAAACAGGAUUAGAAACCCGAGUAGUCC